UACGGGGGGGCAAGCGUUGUUCGGAAUUACUGGGCGUAAAGGGCUCGUAGGCGGCCAACUAAGUCGGAUGUGAAAUCCCCAGGCUUAACCUGGGAACUGCAUCCGAUACUGGUUGGCUUGAAUCCGGGAGAGGGAUGCAGAAGUUCCAGGUGUAGCGGUGAAUGCGUAGAUAUACUGGAGGAACACCAGUGGCGAAGGCGGCUCACUGGCUCGAUACUGACGCUGAGGUGCGAAAGCGUGGGAGCAAACAGG
rnacentral:rRNA from 1 species